GACGAACGCUGGCGGCGUGCUUAACACAUGCAAGUUGAACGGGCGUACAUGGAAGCUUGCUGAAGUGUAUGUUAGUAGCGGACGGGUGAGUAAUGCAUGAGGACCUGCCUGCCGGAGGGGACGAACAGUUGGAAACGGCUGCUAAUACCCGUACUGCCGAGAGGUGAGAGGUAUGGAGACAUGCCGCCGGUAGAGGGACUCAUGUCCUAUCAGCUAGUUGGUGAGGUAACGGCUCACCAAGGCGACGACGGGUAGCCGGCCUGAAAGGGCGAACGGCCACACUGGAACUGAGAGACGGUCCAGACUCCUACGGGAGGCUG
rnacentral:rRNA from 1 species